rnacentral:rRNA from 1 species
UACGUAGGCAGGCAAGCGUUGUUCGGAGUUACUGGGCGUAAAGGGUGUGUAGGCGGUUCUUAAGUUUGGUGUGAAAUCUCCCGGCUCAACCGGGAGGGUGCGCCGAAUACUGAGGGACUAGAGUGUGGGAGAGGAAGUGGAAUUCCUGGUGUAGCGGUGAAAUGCGUAGAUAUCAGGAGGAACACCGGUGGUGUAGACGGCUUCUGGACCAUAACUGACGCUGGAGACACGAAAGCGUGGGUAGCAAACAGG